AUGCUCGGCGUGCUCGCCAUCGAGGCAGCGUUCAUGGCUGCCGUGGUGGCCGGUGUGCUCGUCGGCGCCCACACCCAUGAGAAGCGCUCCAUGAUCGUAGGCAUCCUCUGCGUCAUCUUCGGCUCCAUCAUGUACGCCUCCCCGCUCACCAUCAUGGGUAAAGUGAUCAGGACCAAGAGUGUGGAGUACAUGCCAUUCUUCCUGUCGCUGGUGAACUUCCUCAAUGGCUUGUGCUGGACGGGCUAUGCGCUCAUCAAGUUUGACAUCUACAUCACGAUCCCCAAUGCCCUCGGUACAAUGUUCGGCCUCAUCCAGCUGAUCCUGUACUUUUACUACUACAAGUCGACCCCCAAGAAGGGCAAGAACGUUGAACUUCCCACUGUCCUCACCAAAAACACCGUUACCAGCGGCAACGUCUCCGUCACCGUUGAGAAAUAA
rnacentral:rRNA from 1 species